UUCUAUCAUCUUUCAUGUGCACUAACCUAACACUAACUACAAACAGCUGAUCUAGCUGAUCUCUUCGUAACAUACCAAUUAACGUCAGCAAAUACUCCAACAGAAUUGUAAUAAGGUCCUCUGAUAAAGCGAAAAAUAUCAGAUUUCAAAAAUGAUGAUCGAUCACUCCUUGGUGCUGGCAGUUUUUAUCACCAUGCACGCAGUUGUGCUGUGGAAAACAGAUUUUUUCAACGGAGAAAUGGACAUAUUAGGGCCAUAUCCUCGUAGAGGCCCCCACCGUAAACCCAAGGAACUAAUUGAGAAAAAUAAAUAGUUGAAGCUGGUCGACCAUCGUAGAAAAAAAAUGAGCAGAUGUUUGCAGCCUCUCAACCAAGAGUGAUUAAUUCUAAGUUUUCUUGAUGAUACGUUUGAAGAAACGAGAGGGAACCGGUACAGUGUCUGUCGAGUGAUGAAUAUGGAUUUAUUAACAACGACUUGUGUCAACAAAUUGUGGGCCGUUGAGUGUAAAAAAUAAAAAGAAGAACAGCUCAAUCGAGUUGCUUUCUUGAAAUAGCGUU